AAACUAUUUCGAUCCACUGAAAGAGAUUCAGUGAUAUAUAUGAUAGUGAUCAUGGUAUGUCUCACUAUCAAAUAGAAUUGAACUUAUGAAGAUACACGUAAAGGAAAAAGAUCUGGAUUAGUUAAAAUUGGGCUUAUGAAGCAUCAAUUUAUAUGAAUUUUGAGAAAUCCUGUUAGGUUCAUGUUAACCUUGCUAGCACCUAGGUGAACCCAAUUCCUCUUGUAGUUGA
rnacentral:lncRNA from 1 species